rfam:Gossypium raimondii Chr06_contig_234, whole genome shotgun sequence.
UAUUAAAAAUCUCAUUUAUUUCUGAUAUUAAAAAUUGACGUAGUUGAUAGAAUAAAUAGAUAACUAGACGUGGUGUGUAAAGUAUACCUUCUUUUGAUAUACAAGAAUCAAUUUUUUAAUAGUGAAAAUAGAUAGAAUUUUUAACA